CGGGUUCUACACCAGCGUGCAAGGUAACUAUGACCUCAUCACACGGGUUCUACACCAGCGUGCAAGGUAACUAUGACCUCAUCACACGGGUUCUACACCAGCGUGCAAGGUAACUAUGACCUCAUCACACGGGUUCUACACCAGCGUGCAAGGUAACUAUGACCUCAUCACACGGGUUCUACACCAGCGUGCAAGGUAACUAUGACCUCAUCACACGGGUUCUACACCAGCGUGCAAGGUAACUAUGACCUCAUCACACGGGUUCUACACCAGCGUGCAAGGUAACUAUGACCUCAUCACAGAGGUUCUACACCAGCGUGCAAGGUAACUAUGACCUCAUCACACGGGUUCUACACCAGCGUGCAAGGUAACUAUGACCUCAUCACACGGGUUCUACACCAGCGCGCAAGGUAACUAUGACCUCAUCACACGGGUUCUACACCAGCGUGCAAGGUAACUAUGACCUCAUCACACGGGUUCUACACCAGCGUGCAAGGUAACUAUGACCUCAUCACACGGGUUCUACACCAGCGUGCAAGGUAACUAUGACCUCAUCACACGGGUUCUACACCAGCG